CGCCUCGAGAUGAGAUUUCCCAUUCUUUAUGAAGUAAGACCCCUCAGAGAUGAUGAGGUAGAUAGGCUAGAAGUGGAAGUGCGGCGACGCAUGGAGCGGACUAGUACUAAUGGUUCGAGGACUUAACCAAGUU
rnacentral:rRNA from 1 species